AUUCCAGCUCCAAAAGCAUAUAUUAAUGUUGUUGCAGUUAAAAGGCUCGUAGUCAAACUUGUGAUCUUUCAAUUCGUACCAAGUGUCUAGUACACUCUGCGUUUGUAAUUGUCGAUCAUCUUUCUGGACGGCACUUCUGCUCUUGAUUGAGUUGGUUGUGUUGUACAGAUCAUUUACUGUGAAUAAAUCAGAGUGUUCCAGGCAGGCUCAAUGCCCUGAAUGCUUUAGCAUGGAAUAAUACUAUAAGACUUACGUUUUAUUUAUUGGCUUCGAAACAUAAGUAAUGAUUGAUAGGGAUAGUUGGGGGUGCUAGUAUUUAACGGUCGGCGGUGAAAUGCAUAGACCCGUUAAAGACUAUCUUAUGCGAAAGCAUUCACCAAGGAUAUCUUCAUUA
rnacentral:rRNA from 1 species